rnacentral:rRNA from 1 species
UACGGAGGGUGCAAGCGUUGCUCGGAAUUAUUGGGCGUAAAGGGUAGGUAGGUGGUCUCAUUUGUCUGGGGUGAAAGCCUUGAGCUUAACUCAAGAAGUGCCCCAGAAACGGUGAGACUAGAGUCUUGGAGAGGGUCGUGGAAUUCCCGGUGUAGCGGUGAAAUGCGUAGAGAUUGGGAGGAACACCAGAGGCGAAGGCGGCGACCUGGACAAGUACUGACACUCAACUACGAAAGCGUGGGGAGCAAACAGG